UGCCGGCGAUUUUCGUGGGACGCUUUUUCUAGGCCGUAGAGCAGCGCCGUGCAUCCACUUUUAGGAAUUGGAAACACUUACCCACAUCCACUUUUCGUUCCGACUGACAACGUGUCGGGUUCGGACGUGUUUUUGCGUGCUGCGUAUGUCCUUUGUCUGGACCUUUUUUUGGACUCCCUCCUCUCUUAGAGGAGUUUUGCUUAUAUUCUACAAACCCAUAAGAAACAAUGGUGUAUGGGCGACUAAUGCCCAACCAGCCAUAAAAGAA